rnacentral:tRNA from 1 species
GCGCGCUUAGCUCAGUGGCAGAGCGUCUCUCUUACACAGAGAAGGUCGGGGGUUCAAAUCCCUCAGCGCGCA